UACGGAGGGAGCUAGCGUUGUUCGGAAUUACUGGGCGUAAAGCGCGCGUAGGCGGCUUUGUAAGUUAGAGGUGAAAGCCCGGGGCUCAACCCCGGAACUGCCUUUAAGACUGCAUCGCUGGAAUCCGGGAGAGGUGAGUGGAAUUCCCAGUGUAGAGGUGAAAUUCGUAGAUAUUGGGAAGAACACCGGUGGCGAAGGCGGCUAUCUGGACCGACAUUGACGCUGAGGCGCGAAAGCGUGGGGAGCAAACAGG
rnacentral:rRNA from 1 species